GCAGUCGACGAUAGAUCCCGGAUGCUGGUACUGGGGGAUUAGUGGCAAACGGGUGAGUACACGUGAGUAACCUGCCCCCGACUCUAGGAUAAGCCCGGGAGACUGGGUCUAAUACCGGAUAUUCACUUCCUUCCGCAUGGAAGGUGGUGGAAAUAUUUAUCGGUUGGGGAUGGACUCGCAGCCUAUCAGCUUGUUGGUGAGGUAAUGGCUCACCAAGGCGACGACCGGUAGCCGGCCUGAGAGGGUGACCGGUCACACUGGGACUGAGACACGGCCCAUACUCCUACGGGAGGCAGCAGUGGGGAAUAUUGCACAAUGGGCGAAAGCCUGAUGCAGCGACGCCUCGUGAGGGAUGACGGCCUUCGGGUUGUAAACCUCUUUCGAAGGGAAGAAGCGAAAGUGACGGUACCUGCAUAAAAAUCGCCGGCUAACUACGUGCCAGCAGCCGCGGUAAUACGUACGGCGCAAGCGUUAUCCGGAAUUAUUGUGCGUAAAGAGCUCGUACGCGGUUUGUCCCGUCUGCCUUCAAAGUCCUGGGCUCACCUCGGAUCUGUGGUGGGUACAGGCACACUAGAGUGAUGUAAGGUAGACUGGAAUUCAUGGUGUAGCAGUGAAAUGCGCAGAUAUCAAGAGGAACACCGAUGGCGAAAGCACGUCUCUGGACAUCUACUGACUCUGAUGAUCGAAACCUGGGGAGCGAACACGAUUAGAUCCCUGGUAUUCCAUGCCGUAAACGUUGGGCACUAGAUGUAUGGAACUUCCAC
rnacentral:rRNA from 1 species